rnacentral:rRNA from 1 species
UAGGGAAUUUUGCACAAUGGGCGCAAGCCUGAUGCAGCAACGCCGCGUGAGUGAAGAAGGCUCUUGGGUUGUAAAGCUCUUUCGGCUGGAAAGAAGGGAUUGCUCGCGAACAGUUAGCAAUUCUGACGGUACCAGAAGAAGAAGCACCUGCUAACUACGUGCCAGCAGCAGCGGUAAUACGUAGGGUGCAAGCGUUGUUCGGAAUUACUGGGCGUAAAGGGCGCGUAGGCGGGCCUGUAUGUCGAUUGUGAAAGCCCCGAGCUCAACUUGGGAAUUGCAGUCGAAACUGCAGGUCUUGAAUGCCUGAGGGGAUGGCGGAAUUCCCGGUGUAGAAGUGAAAUUCGUAGAUAUCGGGAAGAACACCUGAGGCGAAGGCGGCUAUCUGGCGGUGCAUUGACGC